AUUGAACGCUGGCGGCAGGCCUAACACAUGCAAGUCGCACGAGUGGCGGACGGGUGAGUAAUGUCUGGGAAACUGCCCGAUGGAGGGGGAUAACUACUGGAACCGGUAGCUAAUACCGCCUACCAUCGGAUGUGCCCAGAUGGGAUUAGCUAGUAGGUGGGGUAAAGGCGCACCUAGGCGACGAUCCCUAGCUGGGCUGAGAGGAUGACCAGCCACACUGGAACUGAGACACGGUCCAGACUCCUACGAGAUGCAGCAGUGGGGAAUAUUGCACAAGGGGCGCAAGCCUGAUGCAGCCAUGCCGCGUGUAUGAAGAAGGCCUUCGGGUUGGAAAGUACUUUCAGCGGGGAGGCGUUACCCGCAGAAGAAGCACCGGCUAAAUCCGUGCCAGCAGCCGCGGUAAUUC
rnacentral:rRNA from 1 species